CGGCGCUGGAGCGGGCGGCGUGGUCCGCCCGGGGAAGGGUAUUCUGUGUUCCUGACUUGCAUUUUGGUUUAUUCCGGGCGCGAGGGCAGCCGUUGAUUGUGAAUGUUUUAGUAAUCCUAAAAUAGAACCGAGUAGUUCUGGGAGAGGGGCUAUAAGGAGUUAGUGUUGAAUGAGUGCAGAGUUUCUUUUGGGGAAGAUGAACAAAUUCUGGAGAUGGAUGGUGGACACGGUGCGCAACAAUGUGAACGGGUUAAUGCCUCUGUGCUGCACGCUGAAAAACGGCUAACCUGGCAGAGCGGCAGCCCUUCGUUUCGCUGCUGAAGAGCUUUCCGCGGGGCACUGCAGCCGAGCUUCUGCAUCCGUUACCCGGUUGCUGGGAAUUUGGUUGUUUCGGGUUUGGGGCAUUGCAGACAAUGCCGUGAGGGAUGCUGUCCUGCGUGUGCAGGGGCGCAUCUGAGGGACGUGAACCUGGGACUGGCACGGAUGGCUCCGGGGUUGGGCAUCUUCAGCUUUACAAGAUGAGGUCGGAUUUUCUCCAAAGUUGGUUGUGGAGCUGGGUCAGCUUAUCUCUGCGGAGACCUCGAAGGAAAGCUUCCACCGUGGCUGUGAAUAAAUGGGAAAUUCUUAAAAUGAUACCGUCGUUAAGGGGCGUUGUAACGCCUGUCCCGGGCGUCGUAAGAGCUUAGAGCCUCUGGCCAGCCAGGACAAGCUACAGCAGCUCUGCCACUGACCCAGCCAAUGGCCUUGGGUGCAUCUUGGUGCUUCUGUGGACCACACUUUGCUCACCUGUAUGAUGGGAGAGACAACUCUGCUUCAGAGGGACUCGGGACCUUGGGGAGACAGGAGAAUAAUUCCACCGCCUGGCCGUGGCUGGAUCCUGUCCUGGAGGGAAAACCGCUUUGAAGCGUGUUAUUGAGUCAAUUGCUGAAACUGCCAGAAUUGGAAUACGAACCGGAGAUUAGAUCAAAUAAUACUGUCAAGGCUAAAUUUACCUAAGUCAGUAACCGAACUAAGGUAAGAGAACGUCCCUGUUCUAAGGAAAUACACCCCUGAAGCAUUUCAGGGCAAAAGGCCAGGGUGCGUGCAACUUACUCUCAGAAGUGUAAAUAAGGAUUGCAGGAGACGAAGCAUAUAGGCUAAAAUGUUAAUGCCAGUGAACAAAAGAGAUGGGCGGACCUCCUGAGCUCGGGGAAGACUGAGAGCAAGGACUGUGAUUUGUUUCACCAGGAGCUCCAGAGCUUGAGACAGUGCCCAGUAGGUAGCAGGUGUUUGAAGAUGUUUGUUGAUUGAAUGAAUGAUUGAAUAAACAAUGAAAGAACAAGUUAGUAAAUCAAAGAUGUGCUAUCUUGGCUGGACUACGGUUGUUGAGAACUCCUUGUGUCAACAUUGACCUUUUUAUGAAGUUUGCUCUCCAGUGAUAGCCUAGCUCACUCCCAGGACGGAGUAGAUCAGCACCAUCCAAUAAAAGUGGAAUGUGAGCCACGUGUGUAAUUUAGAAUCGUCUGGUGGCCACCUGAAAAGUGUAAAAAGAACAGGUAAAAUCAAUUUUAAUAAAAUAUUUCAUUUAACCCAACAUAUUUGAACAUUAUCACUUUAGCAUAUAAUUAACAUUAAAAUUAUUUUAUUUUAUUUUUUUGAGGAAGAUUAGCCCUGAGCUAACUGCCCCCAAGCCUCCUCUUUUUGCUGAGGAAGACUGGCCCUGAGCUACCAUCCGUGCCCAUCUUCCUCUACUUUAUAUGUGGGACGCCUGCCACAAGCAUGGCUUGAUGAGCGGUGUCACGUCUGCACCUGAGAUGGGAACUGGCGAACCCUGGGCCACCAGAUCGGAACGUGUGAACUUAACCACUGCGCCACCGGGCUGGCCCUAAUAUUAAAAUGAUUGAAUGAGAUAUUUUACCUUCCGUUUUUUUGUGCACUGUCCUGGCAGUCCAGCUUGUAUCGUACUUAUAGCACAUCUCGGUUUAGACGCUCAAUUUUCAUCACAAAUACUUGAUCUGUAUUUAGAGCUCAUAAAAUUUAGGGUUGAAAAAGUAGGUUCGUAUGCCUCAGUUGUUCCAAACAUACUUGAAAGUUU
ensembl:lncRNA